rnacentral:rRNA from 1 species
UACGUAGGUGGCGAGCGUUGUCCGGAAUUACUGGGUGUAAAGGGCGUGUAGGCGGGUUGACAAGUCAGAUGUGAAAUUCCCAGGCUCAACUUGGGCACUGCAUCUGAAACUGUUGAUCUUGAGUGCUGGAGAGGAAAGCGGAAUUCCUAGUGUAGCGGUGAAAUGCGUAGAUAUUAGGAGGAACACCAGUGGCGAAGGCGGCUUUCUGGACAGUAACUGACGCUGAGGCGCGAAAGCGUGGGGAGCAAAC